rnacentral:rRNA from 1 species
AAUGAACGCUGGCGGCGCGCCUAAUACAUGCAAGUCGAGCGAGAAGACGUAGCAAUACGUUUGUAAAGCGGCGAACGGGUGAGGAAUACAUGGGUAACCUACCCUCGAGUGGGGAAUAACUAGCCGAAAGGUUAGCUAAUACCGCGUACGCUUCUUGGACUUCGGUUCAGGGAGGAAAGCGAUGCCGAGGGUAUCGCGCUCUUGGAUGGGG